rnacentral:rRNA from 1 species
UACGGAGGGUGCAAGCGUUGCUCGGAAUUAUUGGGCGUAAAGCGUAAGUAGGCGGUCUUGUUUGUCCUGGGUGAAAGCCCGAGGCUCAACUUCGGAAGUGCCCAGGAAACGGCAAGACUAGAGUUCUAGAGAGGGUCGCGGAAUUCCCGGUGUAGCGGUGAAAUGCGUAGAGAUUGGGAAGAACACCGGUGGCGAAAGCGCUCUACUGGGCCUGCACUGACACUGAGGGACGAAAGCUAGGGGAGCGAAAGGG